rnacentral:rRNA from 1 species
CCUACGGGAGGCAGCAGUAAGGAAUAUUGGUCAAUGGAGGCAACUCUGAACCAGCCAUGCCGCGUGCAGGAAGACGGCCCUAUGGGUUGUAAACUGCUUUUGAACUAGAGAAAACCUUGGUACGUGUACCGAGUUGAUAGUAUAGUUAGAAUAAGCAUCGGCUAACUUCGUGCCAGCAGCCGCGGUAAGACGAAGGAUGCAAGCGUUAUCCGGAUUCAUUGGGUUUAAAGGGUGCGUAGGCGGACUGAUAAGUCAGUGGUGAAAUCUCUCAGCUUAACUGAGAAACUGCCAUUGAUACUGUUAGUCUAGAGUACAGAUGAUGUGGGCGGAAUAUGACAUGUAGUGGUGAAAUACUUAGAUAUGUCAUAGAACACCGAUUGCGAAGGCAGCUCACAAAACUGUAACUGACGCUGAGGCACGAAAGUGCGGGGAUCAAACAGGAUUAGAUACCCUGGUAGUCCGCACCGUAAACGAUGAUUACUCGUUGUUGGCGAUAUGACAGUCGAGCGACCGAACGACGAAAGAACGAGUAAGUUAAAUUACUACCGUUACGGGGUUAGGGUACGGCCGGCCGACGGAGGAACGACGAAGGAAGUUAGACGGCGNGAGACGAGCCGACGGACGACGACGAGGGAGGUAGGUAG